rnacentral:rRNA from 1 species
AACGAACGCUGGCGGCAGGCUUAACACAUGCAAGUCGAACGCCCCGCAAGGGGAGUGGCAGACGGGUGAGUAACGCGUGGGAAUCUACCCAGAUCUUCGGAACAACACAGGGAAACUUGUGCUAAUACCGGAUACGCCCUACGGGUGAAAGAUUUAUCGGAUUUGGAUGAGCCCGCGUUGGAUUAGCUAGUUGGUGAGGUAAGGGCUCACCAAGGCUACGAGCCAUAGCUGGUCUGAGAGGAUGAUCAGCUACACUGGGCCUGAGACACGGCCCGGGCUCCUCGGGAUGGCGGCAGUGGGGAAUAUUGGACAACGGGCGAAAGACUGAGCCAGCCAGGCCGCGUGAGUGAGGAAGGCCUUAGGGUUGUAAAGCUCGUUUAGUGGGGAAGAUAAUGACGGUACCCGCAGAAAAAGCCCCGGCUAACUUCGUGCCAGCCGCCGCCGUAA